rnacentral:lncRNA from 1 species
CUGUAGGGAUGCUGCUGGGUUCUGGAGCUUACAUCUUAUUCUGUAGAUGCUGCUUGAUGCACUACUUAAGCCAGUACAGAGAACAAAGAGGGCACUCAACAAGUAUUUGUUUAAUGAAUGAAGUCAUUGGGAAGUGGUUUGUAGGCUGGGUGGGCAAAAACGGGCUGCCAGAAGAUCAGGGGAUAAGGGUGUCAACCAGGCAGUUAGGAUCAGCCAGAAAGGAUAGAUUGAAAGAGCAUGGGAAGGAAAAACUGGUGCAAUAACAAAGUCCCUUAGACUUAUUGUUAAUGAACAAUAGAAAUUCAUCUCUCACAGUUUUGGGGGCUGGGAAGUUCAAGAUCAAAGCACUGGCAGGUUCGGAAUCUGGUGAGCGCCAGGUCUCUGCUUCCAAGAUGGUGCUUUGAAUGCGGCUCUAUUGGGGGUGGACACUGUGUCUGCAUAUUGCAGAAGGAUCAGAAAGGCAAAAGGGUGUGGCUAGUUCCCAACAGCCCUUUUGUAAUGCAUUCUCCUAUCUGCAAGAGCACAGCCCUGAUAGCCUCACCUCCUCAAGGUCUAAACUCUGAACAACCAUUGCAGUGGUCUUAGGUUCCAAGGUGAAUUAUGUAGGGACACAUACCCUCAAACCAUAGCAGUGAUAGAAUAAAGGGAAAAAUACGUAUUAAGUCUUAAGCAUUUGGAUUUAGCAUCCCUAGAAAACAGCAAAAGAAAAAGUGUAGUAUAAUAAUAUGUGCUCCAAGAAGAUGAAACCCAAGAGUGGACAGAGAUUUAGACGUUAUUCUCAUAAAUGAUGGAUCAUGAGAUGGACAGGGUCUUGAUUCUGGAUGAGAUCAGGAAACCAAAGUAAGACUUGGAUAGUCAGAGACUGGGGGUCUCCCUAGAAACCACAAAGCAUCUCUUUAGUUCAUUUAAAGUAUUAUAGCAAUGGAAAUGCUGAGCAAUCUUGAGUGCUAUCUUGUUGUGCUAUCUUGAGUGUCCUCCAAAGGUCCAUGUGUUAGAGCCUUGGUCUCUGAAUUUGGUGCUGUUGGGAGGUGGUAGAAAUUUUAAGAGGUGGGACCCAGUGGGAGGUUUUUAGGUCACUUGGGGCUUGCCCUCUAAAGGGAUUGUGGGACUCCAGUCUUUUCCUCCCUUUAUCUUUUCUUACUUCCUGGCCAUGGGGUGAGCAACUUUGCUCUAUCUACCAUGUACUCCUGCUAUGAAGUGCUGCCUCACAUGGUGUCAAAGCCACAGGGACCAAUCAUGGACUGGAAUCUCCAAAACUAUGGGUUGAAAUAAAUCUUUUCUCUUUAUAAGUUGAUUAUCUCAGGUGUGUGUUAUAAUAACAGAAAGCUAACACACUUGGUAAUGUCUCACAAUAAUUGUUUUUUUUUAACUAAAAACAAAAAUCAGGAAAAAAUUAAAUAAACCUUAUAAUUCUGAUGUCCAGAAACUUCUCCCAUAUAAUCAAGAAGACACUGAGUAUGAAUUCCUACAAUAUUUGAGUUCUGAUACAUAGGUCUAGAACAGAGCCAUCCCACUGAGUUCAAUUAAUAGAAGACAUAGAAAUGUGUCACCAAUAAUAAUGACUAAAACAACUCUAAGACACUCUCAGAACUUUCCCAAAUGUGGCUAAUUCAAUCAUUACUUGGCAAAGCUGCUUUCAAGUUUAGAUUCAAAUGUGUUGCUCUGUGAAGUAUGAUUUUAUGUAAACCUUAUUCAAUUCUCAAUAGAUCUCAGAGCGAUGAUCUCUUUUGUCUUGCACCUGCUUCACAUUUGCUAAAGCCGGG